rnacentral:tRNA from 1 species
UUUGAAAUAGCUCAGUAGGAAGGGCGUUAGACUAUGAAUUGAAAGGCCCCUGGUUCGAUCCCGGGAUACGGCA